rnacentral:rRNA from 1 species
UACGUAGGGUGCAAGCGUUAAUCGGAAUUACUGGGCGUAAAGCGCACGUAGGCGGAUCGUUAAGUCGGGGGUGAAAUCCUGGAGCUCAACUCCAGAACUGCCUUCGAUACUGGCGAUCUUGAGUCCGGAAGAGGUGAGUGGAACUCCUAGUGUAGAGGUGGAAUUCGUAGAUAUUAGGAAGAACACCAGUGGCGAAGGCGGCUCACUGGUCCGGUACUGACGCUGAGGUGCGAAAGGCGUGGGGAGCAAACAGG